rnacentral:rRNA from 1 species
UACGUAGGGUGCGAGCGUUGCCCGGAUUUAUUGGGCGUAAAGGGCGCGUAGGCGGCCACGCACGUCCGUUGUGAAAUCGCCCGGCUCAACUGGGCGGGGUCGGCGGAUACGGCGUGGCUGGAGCAAGCUAGGGGGCAAUGGAAUUCCCGGUGGAGUGGUGGAAUGCGUAGAUAUCGGGAGGAACACCAGUGGCGAAGGCGGUUGCCUGGAGCUUUGCUGACGCUGAGGCGCGAAAGCGUGGGGAGCGAUCCGG